rnacentral:tRNA from 1 species
UGAUAGAGGAAAAACCUUUUUUGUUUGCAACACAAAAAACUUUCUAUCAA